rnacentral:lncRNA from 1 species
CGGACACAAGCUGGUUCUGUAGAGUUCAGUUUCCACAACACACCGCCUGCUAACUGCCUGUUCACACCGCUAUCAUCCAGGAGGCGAGGUCAGUACACAUCAAAGCUGGGACACCGAGAGACUGAAAAACAGCUUCUAUCUCCAGACCAUCAGACUGAUAAACAGCUUCUAUCUCCAGGCCAUCAGACUGAUAAACAGCUUCUAUCUCAAGGCCAUCAGACUGUUAAACAGCUUCUAUCUCAAGGCCAUCAGACUGGUAAACAGCUUCUAUCUCAAGGCCAUCAGACUGUUAAACAGCCAUCACUAGCACAUUAGAGGCUGCUGUCUAUAGGCAUAGACUAGGAAUCACUGGCCACUUUAUUAAGAAAUGGAACACUAGUCACUUUAACCUGUUAGGACUAGGGGGCAGUAUUUACACGACCGGAUAAAAAACGUACCCGAUUUAAUCUGGUUACUACUCCUGCCCAGUAACUAGAAUAUGCAUAUAAUUAUUGGCUUUGGAUAGAAAACACCCUAAAGUUUCUAAAACUGUUUGAAUGGUGUCUGUGAGUAUAACAGAACUCAUAUGGCAGGCAAAAACCUGAGAAGAUUUCAUGCAGGAAGUGGCCUGUCUGACAAGGUGUUGUUGUUCUUGCCUCUGUUUAUUGAAGAGUCAGGAUCUUAGCUGUAACGUGACAUUUCCUAGGGCUCCAAUAGGCUCUCAGAGCCCGGGAAAAAGCUGAACGAUGUCGAGGUAGCCCCAGGCUGAAACACAUAAUCGCCUUUGCCAAGUGGCCGAUCAGAGGACAAAGGAAUUAGGCCCGUGCCCGAGUCGACCCCAUGCUGUAUUUUCUUUCGACUGUUUACCUAAUUGCAGAUUCCCGGUCAGAAUAUUAUCGCUUUUGUACGAGAAAAAUGGCAUAAAAAUUGAUUUUAAACAGCGGUUGACAUGCUUCGAAGUACGGUAAUGAAAUAUUUAGAAAUCUUUUGUCACGAAAUGCGUCGUGCGCGUGACCCUUAUUUACCAUUCGGAUAGUGUCCUGAACGCACAAACAAAACGCCGCUGUUGGAACAUAACUAUGGAUUAUUUUGGAC